rnacentral:rRNA from 1 species
GAUGAACGCUGGCGGCGUGCCUAAUACAUGCAAGUCGAGCGAACAGACGAGGAGCUUGCUCCUCUGACGUUAGCGGCGGACGGGUGAGUAACACGUGGAUAACCUACCUAUAAGACUGGGAUAACUUCGGGAAACCGGAGCUAAUACCGGAUAAUAUAUUGAACCGCAUGGUUCAAUAGUGAAAGACGGUUUUGCUGUCACUUAUAGAUGGAUCCGCGCCGCAUUAGCUAGUUGGUAAGGUAACGGCUUACCAAGGCGACGAGGCGUAGCCGACCUGAGAGGGUGAUCGGCCACACUGGAACUGAGACACGGUCCAGACUCCUACGGGAGGCAGCAGUAGGGAAUCUUCCGCAAUGGGCGAAAGCCUGACGGAGCAACGCCGCGUGAGUGAUGAAGGUCUUCGGAGCGUAAAACUCUGUUAUUAGGGAAGAACAAAUGUGUAAGUAACUAUGCACGUCUUGACGGUACCUAAUCAGAAAGCCACGGCUAACUACGUG